GACGCUGUAGGUGUUGCCGCAGCGCGGAUAGCCCUCGAUCGUGAUGGCUGUGUCGGGUUGCGUCUGCUGGUCACGUCGAUCGUGACGGGCGGACAUGAGGGCGUCGUACACGUACGGUGUUUUCGCGAGCGGACGCCUGAGCCAGUUUCUGGUGCGCUCCAUCCUCGCCAGAACAAUCAUAAAUCCCCGAGCAAGGCUACUCCGGUCGCACGCUUGGGCAGGCGAUACCCGUCCUGCAGACCUACUGUAGCGGACGCGAUGCCGAGAGAGGUUGUCCCGAGGUCCGUAUCGA
rnacentral:misc_RNA from 1 species